rnacentral:rRNA from 1 species
UUUUAUGGAGAGUUUGAUCCUGGCUCAGGAUGAACGCUGGCGGCGUGCCUAAUACAUGCAAGUCGAGCGAACAGACGAGGAGCUUGCUCCUCUGACGUUAGCGGCGGACGGGUGAGUAACACGUGGAUAACCUACCUAUAAGACUGGGAUAACUUCGGGAAACCGGAGCUAAUACCGGAUAAUAUAUUGAACCGCAUGGUUCAAUAGUGAAAGACGGUUUUGCUGUCACUUAUAGAUGGAUCCGCGCCGCAUUAGCUAGUUGGUAAGGUAACGGCUUACCGAAGGCGACGAUGCGUAGCCGACCUGAGAGGUGAUCGGCCACACUGGAACUGAGACACGG